GUUCUUGGCAGAAUAAAUUACAGUGUGGCUCUUGCUCUACCAUACUGUACUUGCCCAUUUUUCUUUAAAGAACUUCAAGAUGGCUACAGAUCUAAUUGAUGAUACAACAGUGGUGGGACUCAUCUCCGGGGAGGAUGAGUCUGCCUGUCGAGAUGAGGUGGACCAGUUGCUUUCAUGGAAUGGUCACUAGCCACUCCAUCAAAGCAGCAAUCACUUAUUCUCAUCUACAUGUUCCUUCAGGAUCACUUCACACAAUCGUAUCAGCAUUAUCAUGCUGCUUUCUACAUGCUCUCUAUUUCCCUGUACUCACUGUGUUCUUGAUAAAAUAUAAGAGCUUAAGUAAAUAAAGGCAUGAUUUAAGUC